rnacentral:rRNA from 1 species
GACGAACCGUGCAAACGUUGUUCGGAUUCACUGGGCUUAAAGGGCGCGUAGGCGGGCCAUCAAGUCAGGGGUGAAAUCUUUCGGCUCAACCGGAAAAGUGCCUUUGAUACUGGUGGUCUCGAGGGAGGUAGGGGCAUGCGGAACUUCCGGUGGAGCGGUGAAAUGCGUAGAUAUCGGAAGGAACGCCGGUGGCGAAAGCGGCGUGCUGGACCUCUUCUGACGCUGAGGCGCGAAAGCUAGGGGAGCAAACGGG